GGCUAGCUCAGUUGGUAGAGCAUAAGACUCUUAAUGCCGGGAAUAUGGGUUUGAGUCCCACACUGGCCG